GGAUAACUACCGGAAACGGUAGCUAAUACCGGAUAAUCCCUUUCCUCGCCUGAGGAAAGGAUAAAAGGCGGAGCAAUCUGCUGAUAAGGGAUGGGCCUGCGGCGCAUUAGCUAGUUGGUGAGGUAACGGCUCACCAAGGCGACGAUGCGUAGCCGACCUGAGAGGGUGAACGGCCACACUGGGACUGAGACACGGCCCAGACUCCUACGGGAGGCAGCAGUAGGGAAUCUUCCGCAAUGGGCGAAAGCCUGACGGAGCAACGCCGCGUGAGUGAUGAAGGUUUUCGGAUCGUAAAGCUCUGUUGCCAGGGAAGAACGUCCGGUAGAGUAACUGCUACCGGAGUGACGGUA
rnacentral:rRNA from 1 species